AUUUCUAGCAUAAAUUUUUAAUGUUUGUGAAAGUAAAAUAUAUUAAUUUAUAUGUUUAAAAUAAUUUUAUCAUAUUUAGUUAAAUGCAAUGUUUUAUUCUAAAAUGAUAGAUAUAACUAUAAAAUAGUAAAAUUUGAUAUAAUUUUUUUUCAUUUUAUAAAAGAUAACUGACUAUAUAUAUAUAUAUAUAUAUAUAUAUAUAUAUAAUGUAUAACAACAU
rnacentral:lncRNA from 1 species